rnacentral:rRNA from 1 species
AUUAAGCCAGGCACGUGUAAGUACACACAGCCAGUACAGUAAAACUGCAAAUGGCUCAAUAAAUCUGUUAUGGUUCCUUUGAUCGCUUUGGAUAACUGUGGUAAUUCUAGAGCUAAUACAUGCUGACAAGCUCUGACCUCCUGGGAUGCAUUCAAUUAUCAGACCAAGACUAAUCCUGGCUCGUCCGCCCACUUUGGUGAUUCUAGAUAACCUCAGGGCGAUCAAACGUCCCUGUGACGGCGAUGAUACAUUUGGAUGUCUGCCCCAUCAACCUUCAAUGGUACUUUCUGUGCCUACCAUCAUCGCCACGGGUAAUGGGGAAUCAGGGUUCGAUUCUGGAGAGGAAGCCUGAGAAAUGGCUACCACAUCCAAGGAAGGCAGCAAGCAUGCAAAUUAGUCACUCCCAACUCGGGAGGGGUAGUGACGAAAAAUAACAAUAUCGGACUCUUUCGAGGCCCAGUAACUGGAAUGAGUACACUUUCAAUCCUUUAACGAUGAUCCAUCGGAGGGAAAGUCUGGUGCCAGCAGCCACUGUUAUUCCAGCUCAAAUAGCAUAUAUUAAAGUUGCUGCAGUUAAAAAGUGCGUAGUUGGAUGUUGGGAUCGAGCUAUCGCCCUACUAUCUUUCGGCAACCCCUUGAUGCUCUUGAAGGAGUGUCCUGGGGGCCCAAAGUAUUUACUUUGAGAAAAUUAGAGUCUUCAAAAGAGGCCGGUCGUCUGAAUACUUCACCUAGGGAUAAUAGAAUACGACUCUGGUUCUAUUUUGUUGGUAUUCGGAACUGGGGUCAUGAUUAAGAGGGAUGGCCGGGGGGGCAUUCAUAUUGUGCCGCUAGAGGUGAAAUGCUUGGCCGGCACAAGAUGAAGCAAAGUAGAAGCAUUUGCCAAGGAUGUUUUCAUUAAUCAAGAACAUAAGUCAGAGGUUCGAAGGCUACGUUGUACUUUCGACCAUAACGAUGGCUAAAAGAUGCCUACUAGCAAUCCGGAGGCGUUAUUCCCAUGACCCACCAAGCAGAUUCUGGUAAACCAAAGUAUUUGGGUACCGGGGAGAGUAUGGUUGCAAAGCUAACAUUUAAAGGAAUUGACAGAAGGGCACCACCAGGUGUGGAGCCUGCGGCUGAAUUUGAUUCAACAAAGGAAACCUCACCAGGCUCAGACACGGAAAGGAUUGACAGAUUGAUAGCUCGUUCUCGAUUCUGUGGGUGGCGGUAGAGGGCGUUCUUAGUUAGUGGAACGAUUUGUCUGGUUAAUUACGAUAACGAAUGAGACUCCUUCCUGUUAACUAGUUACGCGACCCCCAGCAGUUGGCGUUCACCUUCUUUGAAGGAUAAUUGGUGUUCAGCCACACGAGAUUGAGCAACAAACAGGUCUCCGAUGCCCUUAGAUGUCUGGAGCUGCAUGCACGCUACACUGAAUGGAUCUACUCUUUGCCGGCAGGUGCGGGUAACCCGCUGAAUCGAGUUUGUGAUAGGACUUGGAGAUCGUAAUUAUUUCCCAUGAACGAGGAAUUCCCAAUAAGUGCAGGUAAUACACUUGCAUUGAUUAAGACCCUUUCUUCUGUACACACCACCCAUUAUGAUAUGAUAUGGCAUUUAUAACGCGCCUAUACACAAGUGUUUCAAGGCGCGACGAGGCAAGGGAGGGGAACAGAGGGAAGACAGAGAC